AUCGCAUGAGCAUUCAAGAAGCAGUGAGAACUCUGUUCCAUGCAGCAUGUCCACAUCCAAUACACUACAGGGAUGAUGAAUCUGGUGAAUACGACACCAAAAGAGUCAUGAUGGAUUUGCAAAUAUGGAUAUCCUCAAUCUCAGCUAUGUGGAUCACAAUGUCUGACACUAUGCAUGAAUAUACAUGUGAGUGUUGUAUAUCACUUAGCAAGCUGCUACUAACUAUGAAGACAAGCUUAAGAUGAUUAUGACUCACGAAGAUUUUCAUGCAAAAUGAGUGUCAAAGUCUACGAUAAUCGGAUGGCCAGAAGGCAUAUCAACGGAUGGAGCCAAACAAGCCUUUGAUGAUUUAAAAGAUUUGUCCGAAGCCAUCAUUAUGGCAGAGUCACAUCCUAGGAUAGAAGAGUUAACUACUGAUUUUAGUGCAGUAUCAGAUAUGAGUAAGUUCAGAUGAUGAUACUAAAGCACAAGAGCAAUCUAUUCUAAAAGAUGAGCUCAAAGCUGAUAAUGAACACGGAGAAACAAGUCAAAUCGUAGAAGAACACCAAAACAGCGAAGAAGUUGCAAUGGCCAAAAGAAAGAGGAAAGCAGUUCCUCGACCAAUUGGAUUAGUCUAGGAAAUAGAUGAUACCGACGGCAUGAUGACUGUGUGUUUAACACAAAUAUCAAAAGUUGUCAAAGUAUAUCUACCCGAAACUAUAAAAAUUGGUAGAGAAGGUUUGCGAAUGUAUACCAUUAAUUGCCUAAAACAGAUUCUGAAAACGAUCUCAGUCUUCUCUUACACAUCAAAGAUGAGUCAGAAAGCGAAAAUCAGAAUGAUGUUAAAGUCUCAUCACAUCUAUGAAAGAAACAAGAAGAAAAUAAAACUUUUCACACCAGGUAAUUGCAGGCAUAUGUAUACAGACCGUGAAACCAAAAGAAAGAAAAGAGAGUAAACUACGAAAAGAAAGAAGUUCUACGUGGAUUUAAAGCUAAAUAAAAUGAGAGAGUGACGCCUUUCAAUGAAUAAUCUAUUUGAGUAUGGAGUUCACUGAGCUAAGCUAAAUUCUAAAACUUUUCAAUCUUACAGUAUAUAUAUAUGUAUAUACUAUACACAAGAUACAUAGUGAGACAACACUAAAACAAACAAUAUGACAAAUGUUACGUAAAAUGGAAAAGAGAUCAUAAAAUAUAUAUAUAUUUUGAUCAGAAUUCAUAACGAACAAAGAGAGUUUUGUUUUAACAACAAUAUGGGCCUGACGACACAUCUCAUAAAUAUUGUAAUUAUUAUUUCCUACCAUCAUAAAAAUAUACGCAUGUGUACUGAUACUUUACAUUCGGUUUUAAUUUGUUUCAUCCUAGUACAUGGAUAUCAAAAUUUGUAUAUGAUCUGGGAUAUCUUUAUAAUAUACACGUUAAUUGUUUUUUAAACAUUACUUAUCGACUUUCAAUCAUCAAACUCGCCAAAGGAGUGAAAGGAUCUGAUUAUUCCAUGUAAAUUAAACUUGUUUAAACAUUUAUAAUAUCGUCAACUAUUCGUGAGGGUAUUAGGAUCUUGUUUUCAUAUUUAUAUUACUUAUCCAUUUCAUUAACCGAUCCAAUUCACGAAAUAUUUUGUAUAGCCUUUACUCCAGGCACAGUCGAAACGGAUUAUGGGUACAUCAAAGAAUUAAUUAAGUACACCCAUACAUCAGUGGUUAUAUACUACCGUCAUUUGAGGGCCGUGUAAUUCAUUGCUGGAGAAGUGGCAUGCAUAUAAAUACUUUAUCUAGAAAAUGUAUGCACAUACCAUGGAUAUUUCAAAAAACGGACCCCUCUGGGCUUCUUGAGACAACGUAUCGGGACUUGCGCCAUUAGCACGUCAUCGCAAUCACAAAACCGCCUGGGGCCUGUUUCAUGAAACAUUCACAGUAUGACGUGCAUCAAUAAAGACAGUUGACCAUAAAAUCAUUAUAUUAAAACUGAACCUUGAAGUAAAAUGAAUAUUAUUAGCUUGAUAUUUGAAACUAUGAAUCGAAACGGGACCGUUAAUUCGAAUUCCAGCUAAUAAAACCGUCACAUUAACUGAAUAACGUUACUGAGUGACGAUUAUUCAUUAGAAAAAGAAAAAAAAAAUGUAUAAAUUAAAAAAAAAUUAAUAAAUAAAUAAAAAUUAAAUUGCUCACUCAGUGGACAAACGAAAGAAAUAAGCAAAUAGGUGUAUUCCGAAAUAUACUCGCAGUACUGCAUGUACUGGCAACCGCGUUCCGAAAUCGUGCGACAGCUUACUGCCGCCAGUCAGUGACGUCAUGAAAUUUGUGACGUUGUUGACUGCAACUACUGCGGUCUGGGACGUGAGGCAGUUGCAGUACUUGAGAGAUGGCCGCGUCUUCGGUGUAGCGUUCCGAUUUUACUGCGACUGGCAACUGGAAGUAAAAACGGAACGCAGAUCGCAGUUGACUGUGUGACGUCACUGUCGGCAGUACUGAAACAUAAGCUAAAACUCCAUCUGUUUUUUCCCCACUUUCACGUAUCCAAUUUCAUUUUUCACCUGUUUACUAAAAUUCUUAGGUCUAGUUGCAUAGAGCGUCAGGAAAAUAUUGGAAAUUUGUUUGUCAACAUUAUUUUGGUUUCUUCAAUAAUAACUAACGGCAAAUAGAAUAUUAAUUCGUUUGAGAUAGAACGAAUAAUUUUUCGUUUUUCACAUUGAUCUAACAUCUGCUUAAUUUUAUUACAACAUUCUCCACAAGUUACCUUGAACAGCACUUACAUGACUGUUUCGGAUGCAUGCCAAUAGAUAUUGAUAGAAAAAAUAUGCCAGGGCAAUAUUUGGCACUCCGAUUUCUGAUACCAUUCUGUGGAUGAAUAAGAUCAACUGGAAUGAUCGUUUUUCGUCUUACAUUUACAGCAACUUCAAUAAACUACCUUAAUUUUACUGCUCGUAAAAAUCCAGCCUUACAUCAACCAUCAAUUAAUCCUGUGGGUAGCUAAAAAAAUUACAGUUGCUAUGGUCGGCGCUUGAUAACCCUGAAAUUAACAUUAAUUUGCCAUUGAUAAGUCUGAUAACAAAGUGAUAUGUACUGUUCUACUUCCACGCAGCUGUUACAAAUCUUCAGCUAUAGAAAUAAUCAAAUUCAUUGUUAUCUCAGUUUGGUUUUUGUAGACCAAUUAAGUUAUACGAAAAAUGUAGACCUGCUUAAUCAAGUCAUGGAUAUACUUGCGAUCCACAUGUAGAAAUUAUAUACAAAGCUAGAAGCAAACAAGUCAAACAAUUUUCUUAUGAUGCCGAAUGUUGUGUUUAUAACGUGAGAAUCAUAUCACAAUACAAAUGAAUCAGAUACUUUUCAAGUAUAAUCAAAAACACUGGAUUUGAUUCUACAAAAUUACGUCUAAACCGUGAAAUAAAAAUGAUCAGGAUUAUGGGAUAGCGAAGGUUGAAAAGAAAUUGUGAAACUUCUUCAUUAAUGCAGGAGUAGACAAGAUUUUUCACACCACUACAAAAUAUGAAUCACAUUUGAUAGAUCUUUCAGAUUACAGAAGUUGAUUUCUUAUCAUUUCGAAGAUAGUAACGUUAUCGUAGCAACGUAUACUGAGGAAAUAUCAGGAUUUCGCGAUUUUGGAACCAUUUGAAAUUUAGUCAACUGUAAUAAAACGAAACACACUUAUAUUUUGAAAUUCUACUACCUUAAAAAUCAUUGUAAAGUCAAGAAAAUAGUGACUUAAUCCCAAAUGUUUUGUUACGAUAAGAUUACUUAUAACUGCUUCUACUUCAAGCAUUAUGUCUAUUCCUGCAUGUAUGCAAACAGAGUAUAAUAAAGGUUUCAAAAAGUACAAUUUAUUAAUAUGUGUGAGAAAAAAUCUACAGGUCACACAAUUCCUUUGACAUCUUCAAGAAGUACAUUGUUCUUGUUAUUUGUACGUCGAAUAAUUGUUGUAUUAAUACGUAUUAUAUAAUCAUGCAUUAAUGUGCGUUGGAAAAAAACAUACGAGAAUACUAAAUCUUCGACAUCUUGAGAAGUACAUAUAUCUUGCUAUUAUACAUAUAUAAGCGGAUAAUACAUAUGAAACGUAAUAUUUGCAGCGUAGUAAGUAGGUAGAGGUCAAGUAUUACUGGUACGAUGUUUAGGUGAUAUUCCAUUCGGAUUCUUGGCUUACGG